rnacentral:rRNA from 1 species
UACGAAGGGGGCUAGCGUUGCUCGGAAUCACUGGGCGUAAAGGGUGCGUAGGCGGGUCUUUAAGUCAGGGGUGAAAUCCUGGAGCUCAACUCCAGAACUGCCUUUGAUACUGAGGAUCUUGAGUACGGGAGAGGUGAGUGGAAUUGCGAGUGUAGAGGUGAAAUUCGUAGAUAUUCGCAGGAACACCAGUGGCGAAGGCGGCUCACUGGUCCGAUACUGACGCUGAGGUGCGAAAGCGUGGGGAGCAAACAGG